CCGUGCUAGAUGGGGAAUUAGCGGUGCCUUGUAACCUGCAAUCCGCUAUAGCAGGAUUGAUGCUUAUGCUAGGCUUGGACUUAUUAAUUUUUGAAGAUUAAAUAAAUAUUGAUAUGCAGAUCUUUUUCAAUAUGUUUAGGAUGAAUCCCGUCAGGCCUGAAAGGGAGCAGCGGUAAGUUUGAAAUCAUAUGUGUGGAAGUUAAUCUACAUUGAGUUUAUUUUCCUUUAUUGGUUAAUUUUGAAAAAGUCAAACAUGAGUGCACGG
rnacentral:SRP_RNA from 1 species